UCAAAAAAUAUCUUAACUUGUGUUCCGAAGAUGAACAAAAGUCUUACGGGUGUGGAACUACAUGAGGGUGAGUAAUUUUGGGUGAACUAACCCUUUAAAUAUUUAUGGAUACUAUAUAUAUCUGUAUAUAGAACCUUCUGAGGUCUCCCAGAUUUUGGUACCCAAAUGUUGACAGGUAUGGUGAUAAUGGAAUAAAAUAAAUGUGAUAAUAUGUAUUCACUAUUUUAUAAUAGAAAUUAAAAUAUCAAAUGUGUGUAUUAUGAUGUUUAAGGCAUACAGCAGAUGAUAUGGUCAAGCACAAAUGUCUAUCUUGUUAUCGUUCUAUUUAAUAGUUAAAUUCCAGUCACACACUUGUCUUUGUUCAUGUCUCGUUCUGUUGUUUAGCUCCUGUAUUUCACGGAUGACAUCACCUCAGGGUGUGUUUCUCAUCUGUGAGAAUCUCUGGAAGGAUGGACCUGCGGGUUUGAUCUCCCCGGAUCAGCCACAUACUGUUUGACAUCAUGUGACACCUGCUGAACCACUGACACACUGAAACAGACAGGGCAGCAGAUUCUGGAUUUAGAAGAAUACCUUUAUCGAGUCCCAUUGCCCUUGAAAGGAUGACAUCGAUCAGGCAGCCAGAAGAUUCUGACCCCUCCUGCCCUGGAGGACGAUCAAUGGACCUGCGCUUUACUUCCUGAACAUCAGCAGAGGAUUAAACAAUCUCCCAGAACAACACAAUUAACUCCAAUAUACCUGACAUCAAUAUUUAGGUGAUACGAGUGAGUAGCAGAAUCAGGUCAGUGAUAAUCGAAUAUUUCCCCUCAUCUGGACAAUAAAGGUCAGUGCUCAUACCUAGACAUACCAGCCCCAGGACACCUACUGUACCACACUGUGUGUGUCUGUGUGUGUACAGUAUAAGUGCAUGUUGCAAUGAUAAACCAUGGUGAAAUGCUUUUCAGUUUUAUUUUUACAUGAUCCAUGUCAUGAAUUUUAAUGCUUUCUGCAGUCAAAUUCACCCAGUUAUGUCAACAUGUUGAAGUACUGUUGCAACCAUCACCAUAUGUCAUCCAACAAGAGUGUAUAUCAUUAUUAAUGCUCUGUAGUCAUAGUUUUCGAUUGACACAAGCAUCUUUUGCUUUUUUUUGACAACGUUGAUAUUUUGUCAUAAAAGUUGCAUUUUCCAACCAGUUUUAGGGGUGUUCAGUUCCAGGUUUUUAAGUCGACUUCAACUCCGGAUUCCCGCAAUAAGAAUCGAUUCCACUGGACUCCAUUUACUUUACAUCAAAACAGGGUCAGAAAUAAAACUGCAGUCGUUAUUACACAUUAAUACACACUGCGGUUUCGGGCUCAGCCAAUGUAUUCUUCAAUGAAUUUGUCUCAUAAUGGUCAGGUGACCCUCUCUUCACAUCGUUCACUCCUUGCUGAUAUAGUGCACUAAACUGCCCAGAUCUAUAGGAAUUAGAGUCAACAACGAGAUUGAUUCCGUAUCACUAACCAGUUUUGAAAUACACUACUCUUAAAUACUGUAUGUUGUCAUAACAGACCAUUAAAUGAAAUAAAUAAACAAUGGAAAAAAGAUAUAUCUUAUGGGGCACUUUAAAGGUUGGAGUCAAAUGACAUGGACAUAUCAUAUGACAUUUUUUUUAUGACCGUUUCAUUUUGUAAGUAUAUUUCCACACAGCACAGCUGUUACUCCCACUACUAUGUUUCGCAAUACUUGGGUCAAGAAAAACAGAAAGAAAGCUCCAUAUGAAAUCCUAAACUUAUUAUAUGAAAACCUUCCAUGUUUUUUUUUCUGUUUCGAACAAUUACAGAUGCUGGUCGAUGGAGCGUGAGAGAAAGACAACAUCAAAACAACAGGGAAAGAACAAAACCCACCACACACAGAUCAGAGGGGUGUGUUCCCCAGGACAGAGAGGGGUCUUCUGGGUACCAGCUGAACUGACAACCCCUGGAGCAGCUACGCGGUGCUUUGCACAAAUUGAACUGACAGCAGCUUUUUCCACAGAAUGUAUAAAGUCCUGACUAGCAAAGAACUGUGUUGUCCAGUUAUUUGGCAAGGCUUUUUAUACUGAGCAAAAACUCUCUCAAUAAUGGUGUUUACUCAUACUAAAAUACUCUGACAGUGUUUUAUGCACUACUAUUCAAUUCAGUGGCAAUGCGACACUUAUUCUAAGGGGCUGUUUGUACGACAGCAUUUUCAAGUAAAAACAGAAAACAUUUUGUGCGAUUUGGCUGUUCAUUUAC